ACGUUCCCGAACUACGAAUUGCAUGUGACGCUCGUUGUCUCCGAUGGGGGGUUGGGAUAGCUGUGACGAGAAAAUGGAGAGAAAAGUUUGUAAUAAAUAAUUUUUAUUACAAAAUAUAACAUUAUAUUGGAUUGCUUUUGAACUGUAAGAACUUUCAGAGAUAAUCUGGGAUAUCCAAAAAUGCUUUCAUCUAUAUCAUUACCGCAAUCGAAAUGUGGUGGCGGCGGUUGAGACAUCAGCGCUGCGGUUGCCGAAGAUAAGUUCUCUCCACAAUUGUUGUCUGAUACUAUGAGCGCCUAGAAAUAUAAUGGGAAAUAAAUUAUUUUAAAACGUUA